rnacentral:rRNA from 1 species
GAGUUUGAUCCUGGCUCAGGAUGAACGCUGGCGGCGUGCCUAAUACAUGCAAGUCGAGCGAACAGACGAGGAGCUUGCUCCUCUGACGUUAGCGGCGGACGGGUGAGUAACACGUGGAUAACCUACCUAUAAGACUGGGAUAACUUCGGGAAACCGGAGCUAAUACCGGAUAAUAUAUUGAACCGCAUGGUUCGAAUAGUGAAAGACGGUUUUGCUGUCACUUAUAGAUGGAUCCGCGCCGCAUUAGCUAGUUGGUAAGGUAACGGCUUACCAAGGCACGAUGCGUAGCCGACUGAGAGGGUGAUCGGCCACACUGGAACUGAGACACGGUCCAGACUCCUACGGGAGGCAGCAGUAGGGAAUCUUCCGCAAUGGGCAAAGCCUGACGGAGCAACGCCGCGUGAGUGAUGAAGGUCUUCGGAUCGUAAAACUCUGUUAUUAGG